UGCCCAGCAACUCCUAUCUCUACCUCCUUGUGGCACUGGCCAGGGAACGAGUAACCUUAGGCAAGAUCGGGUAACUAACCCCGGUGGGAGCUUUGGUCGUAUGCUGAUAGGGAAGG
rnacentral:ribozyme from 1 species